rnacentral:sRNA from 1 species
UGACUCCGAUAUUGGACAUCGUUCGAAA